GGAAAGCCUUCCACAUACAAAAGAUGGCUCCACUAAAAGUUCCAAAGAUCAGAAGUUUGAAAUCAACUUCACUAGGAUGAAAUUAAGGUGUUCGCAGCAUUGUACUUGCUCCAAAUUGUUACCAUGCAAGGUUGGAAGGACAGAUAUUUGUCCCAUUGAACAAAUGGAAAAAAAGAAUCACAGAAGAUAAAUGAAUCACCCAUGCACCCACAUGAGGUUAGUGGCAGAGUCCAAGACUAGAAACUUUCAUCUGGGAGAGAGUGGUUCAGUCAGACAAAACUUCACUCAAAUCUACUCAAAUCCUGUCUACAAUUUGUCUAACUAUAUUUCUACUCAGACUAGGUUUUGCUGUAGUGACAAACCCCGAAAUGUCAGCAGCUGCACACCCAAUGACUUGGGAGACUGUGGCAGAAUAUUCCAAGUUCAAGGCCAGGCUGAGCAAUUUAGGGAGAACCUCAGAAACUUAGUGAGAGACCCUGUUUCAAAAUUUCAAAAAGAACUUUG